AUUGAACGCUGGCGGUAGGCUUAAUACAUGCAAGCCGAGCGGGGGAAGUUGCUUCGGUAAUUGACCUAGCGGCGGACGGGUGAGUAAUACUUAGGAAUCUGCCUAUUAAUGGGGGACAACAUCUCGAAAGGGAUGCUAAUACCGCAUACGCCCUACGGGGGAAAGCAGGGGAUCACUUGUGACCUUGCGUUAAUAGAUGAGCCUAAGUCGGAUAAGCUAGUUGGUGGGGUAAAGGCCUACCAAGGCGACGAUCUGUAGCGGGUCUGAGAGGAUGAGCCGCCACACUGGGACUGAGACACGGCCCAGACUCCUACGGGAGGCAGCAGUGGGGAAUAUUGGACAAUGGGGGGAACCCUGAUCCAGCCAUGCCGCGUGUGUGAAGAAGGCCUUAUGGUUGUAAAGCACUUUAAGCGAGGAGGAGGCUCUAUUGGUUAAUACCCAAGAUGAGUGGACGUUACUCGCAGAAUAAGCACCGGCUAACUCUGUGCCAGCCGCCGCGGUAAGAC
rnacentral:rRNA from 1 species